GCGGGUGUAGCUCAGUUGGUAGAGCACAACCUUGCCAAGGUUGGGGUCGCGGGUUCGAAUCCCGUCGCCCGCU
rnacentral:tRNA from 1 species